UGCGUAGGUGGUGAGGUAAGUCGGAUGUGAAAGCUCGGAGCUCAACUCCGAAAUGGCAUUGGAAACUACCUUGCUCGAGGGUUGGGAGGGGGGACUGGAAUACUUGGUGUAGCAGUGAAAUGCGUAGAUAUCAAGUGGAACACCAGUGGCGAAGGCGAGUCCCUGGACAACUCCUGACACUGAGGCACGAAAGCUGGGAGCAAACA
rnacentral:rRNA from 1 species